rnacentral:rRNA from 1 species
GACGAACGCUGGCGGCGUGCCUAAUACAUGCAAGUUGAGCGCUGAAGGUUGGUACUUGUACCAACUGGAUGAGCAGCGAACGGGUGAGUAACGCGUGGGGAAUCUGCCUUUGAGCGGGGGACAACAUUUGGAAACGAAUGCUAAUACCGCAUAAAAACUUUAAACACAAGUUUUAAGUUUGAAAGAUGCAAUUGCAUCACUCAAAGAUGAUCCCGCGUUGUAUUAGCUAGUUGGUGAGGUAAAGGCUCACCAAGGCGAUGAUACAUAGCCGACCUGAGAGGGUGAUCGGCCACAUUGGGACUGAGACACGGCCCAAACUCCUACGGGAGGCAGCAGUAGGGAAUCUUCGGCAAUGGACGAAAGUCUGACCGAGCAACGCCGCGGGAGUGAAGAAGGUUGUCGGAUCGUAAAACUCCGUUGGUAGAGAAGAACGUUGGUGAGAGUGGAAAGCUCAUCAAGUGACGGUAACUACCCAGAAAGGGACGGCUAACUACGUG